GAUGAACGCUGGCGGCGUGCCUAAUACAUGCAAGUCGAGCGAACAGACGAGGAGCUUGCUCCUCUGACGUUAGCGGCGGACGGGUGAGUAACACGUGGAUAACCUACCUAUAAGACUGGGAUAACUUCGGGAAACCGGAGCUAAUACCGGAUAAUAUAUUGAACCGCAUGGUUCAAUAGUGAAAGACGGUUUUGCUGUCACUUAUAGAUGGAUCCGCGCCGCAUUAGCUAGUUGGUAAGGUAACGGCUUACCAAGGCGACGAUGCGUAGCCGACCUGAGAGGGUGAUCGGCCACACUGGAACUGAGACACGGUCCAGACUCCUACGGGAGGCAGCAGUAGGGAAUCUUCCGCAAUGGGCGAAAGCCUGACGGAGCAACGCCGCGUGAGUGAUGAAGGUCUUCGGAUCGUAAAACUCUGUUACUAGGGAUGAACAAAUGUGUAAGUAACUAUGCACGUCUUGACGGUACCUAAUCAGAAAGCCACGGCUAACUACGUG
rnacentral:rRNA from 1 species